AUUUAUUUUUGUAUGAUUUGUUUCUUCUCAUUUUUCAUCCAUUUUCAAACCAGUUAAAGUAAAACUACUCUAAAGUAUCAUGUGUUGUCAUGUUUGAACUAUUAUUUGUGAGAAAUACUUUAGUGUAUUUCCUGUUGGGUCAAAAGUGAAGGUGUAGGUUUUCUGUGGUCAGAGAUGGUGCUGAUAGGAAGACUCCUCUGGAGGAGGAAACACAGGAUGAACCAGCAGGGGAGGUGUUGGAUGUGGGCCGUCACAGAGAAAGACGCCGUUUCAGUCUCACUGGGUUCUGCACGGCAGCUGUCAGCAACUUCAGGAGCUGAAGAAACAAAUCCAGACGUUUCCUCACAGCGACACAGCGGCAGCUCUGCUGUGGACAACAUGAAGAAUCCUGCAGACGUGAACAGGCUGAAGGAGGCGGGCCUGGGCUUUGCUUUGGGGGCGUUAGGAGGAUGCAUUCUGGGCGUCACUGAGGAUCCAGUAGACCGGAUCCUCCUGGCGAUGACCGCAGAAGGUCCGCUGACUCCUGUGAUGCAGGAGGUGCAGACGGUGGGUCCUCUGGGUCUCGGCACUCUCCUGGGAGCCGCGGCGUUGACCGCGGCGACCACGUCGGUUAUAGCCGGCGUGAUUCUGGCUGCGGCGGCGGCUUCGGUGUUUGUGGCCCUGAAGAACUGCGGGGCCUCCUUCACGCCAUCUGCCGGCUUGUGGGUGUCGGCGGGGGUCGCCGGCGCCUUCGGGACCACGUUAAGCGGAGCUACCUUUGGGGCCGCCGUUGAAUGGAUCGUAAACCGGUACAGCAUGCUGGGACUGUUCUGGACUUUGAGCCUGUUUACAGUCCUCAAACCUCCUCUUAGCUUCCUCUUCAAAAUCCUCUGGAGCCAAGGAGAAGCAUGCUGCCGUCUGGGGUCAGAGGUCAGCUCCAGGGAAGUGGCGGAGUGGCAGCAGAGACAGCGGAUGGUCCUGCAGAUGGAGCGGAGGAUCCUGGCUCUGGAGAAAGGAGCGGAUUCCAGGGAAACACCCGCCUACGAGCAAAGGGAGAGGGCGGAGCUAGAGAGGAGGAGGGCGGAGAAGGAAGAAGCUGAGAUGCAGCAGAGAACCGUCCAAGACUGGAUCAACACGGUGCUGAUCAAGCACGUCGACUUCCUGGCCUUCUCUGGAAUCCCCAUGACAGUGGUUGCCACAGUAACCGCGGGGUUCGGCAUGUUUGGUUACGGAGACCAUCAGGCCGCGCUCGUAGUUCUUUUGGUUUUAGUUGCAAUCAUCACGUAUGUUCUUCUGAGCUCCUCCAACUUUAAGUUCUGGAUGCUGGUGGGAUGUAUGGGCAUGUUAGCGACCUUCGUCAUCGCCAUGCUGACUCUGCAGGCCGGCCAGGCAGCCCUGAUGGACGCCAAGAGGAUGAGGGCGGAGGGGCGGAGCCAAAGCCGAGAGGACAUCGGCAGCAGGAUGAACCUCCAGUCCUCUCUGGAAGCUCUGAACGCAGCUUUCUUUGUGGCCAAACUGUGUCAGUUGAGUCUGGGGGCUACAGUUGGGGGGGCCCUGGUGAGGCGAGGAGCGGGGGGGGCUAAAGUGAUAGCGGGGGCAGCGGCGCUGGCUGGAAGUCUGCUAACGGGACAAGCGGUUUUGGCCCCCGCUCUGAGCGCGGGGGGGAACGCCGGAGCGCUGCUGGGUGUGGUCGCCACGGCGGGGGUGUCUGCCGGGGGGGCGGCGGCUGCAGCUGGAGGCUCCUCCUCCUGGUGGGGAACUUUAGCAACAGUGGGGGGGUUGGUUUUAGGGGCGUCGGCUUUGGGGAAAUGGCACGCCGUUAACAUUGGACUGCAGGUGCCGGCGGCGUUCGUCUUCGCCAUGAUCAAUCCGUUUUAGUCCGUUUGUCCUCAGAUGAUCAAAUCCUGAACUUGAAGGAAAAGGAAGUGAUGAAGAGGUAGUUUAGAGAAUCGGUGCUCUUUAAAAGAAUAUUUAUCAACAAUGUGUCAUUUUAUUAGAACUUUACAUAUUUAUUUGAUUGUUUACCGAAUACAAACAUAUAAAUAAUGUUUUAUAAAACUGAAAGAAAUUAGAAAAAACAUCACUCAAGAUGGAGGUUUCACCUGGAAAUACUUCAUCAAAUCUUUAAUGAAAUAUAUGUUGAAAUAUGAGAUUGAAAUGAACUAAAUAUAGAAAUGAACUACGGUUGUAUUUACUGAAAGAAAGAAACCACAAAUGCUGACAACAAUAAAGAUUUACUGUCAUAAUCAUUAAAAAAAGGCUUCAAAUAAUCAUAAUAAUUUAUAAUAAUAAAAAACUUCAGAAAAUUAAUGGAAAAUAAAUAAAAUCUUACCUUUCAUUCCUUUAAAAUGUAUCAGUCUUGGAAAAAAAAAAAACAAGUCAUGAAUAUGUAUAUAUGUUUG
ensembl:lncRNA